AAAGAUGUGCUAAUACCGCAUAUCUCUCAGGAGGAAAGCAGGGGAUCGAAAGACCUUGCGCUAAAGGAGCGGCUGAUGUCUGAUUAGCUAGUUGGUGGGGUAAAGGCUUACCAAGGCAACGAUCAGUAGCUGGUCUGAGAGGACGACCAGCCACACUGGGACUGAGACACGGCCCAGACUCCUACGGGAGGCAGCAGUGGGGAAUUUUGGACAAUGGGCGAAAGCCUGAUCCAGCCAUGCCGCGUGAGUGAAGAAGGCCUUCGGGUUGUAAAGCUCUUUUAGUCGGAAAGAAAGAGUCAUAGUAAAUAGCUAUGAUUUAUGACGGUACCGACAGAAAAAGCACCGGCUAACUACGUGCCAGCAGCCGCGGUAAUACGUAGGGUGCGAGCGUUAAUCGGAAUUACUGGGCGUAAAGGGUGCGCAGGCGGCCUUGUAAGUCAGAUGUGAAAGCCCCGGGCUUAACCUGGGAAUUGCGUUUGAAACUACAAAGCUAGAGUGUAGCAGAGGGGAGUGGAAUUCCAUGUGUAGCAGUGAAAUGCGUAGAGAUGUGGAAGAACACCGAUGGCGACGGCAGCUCCCUGGGUUGACACUGACGCUCAUGCACGAAAGCGUGGGAGCAAACAGAUAGAUACCUGUAGUCACGCCCUAACUAUGUCAACUAGUUGUCGGAUCUAAUUAAGGAUUUGGUACGUAGCUAACGCGUGAAGUUGACCGCCUGGGGAGUACGAUCGCAAGAUUAAAACUCAAAGGAAUUGACGGGGACCCGCACAAGCGGUGGAUUAUGUGGAUUAAUUCGAUGCAACGCGAAAAACCUUACCUACCCUUGACAUGCUUGGAAUCUAAUGGAGACAUAAGAGUGCCCGAAAGGGAGCCAAGACACAGGUGCUGCAUGGCUGUCGUCAGCUCGUGUCGUGAGAUGUUGGGUUAAGUCCCGCAACGAGCGCAACCCUUGUCGCUAAUUGCUAUCAUUUUAAUGAGCACUUUAGCGAGACUGCCGGUGACAAACCGGAGGAAGGUGGGGAUGACGUCAAGUCCUCAUGGCCCUUA
rnacentral:rRNA from 1 species